rfam:Pasteurella bettyae CCTG 2042 contig00004, whole genome shotgun sequence.
CCAUCAUCACCAUCACCCUGAUUAAUCUUUCGGGUAUUUGGUGUAUGCGGAAGAUUCAAAUUCUUCCGAGCUCAAGUACGAUAUAACAAAAUAAAAAAACUCUCGGAAGUCGAAUUCCGAGAGUUUUUUUUU